rnacentral:rRNA from 1 species
AUUGAACGCUGGCGGCAGGCCUAACACAUGCAAGUCGAACGAGUGGCGGACGGGUGAGUAAUGUAUGGGAAAGUGCCCGAUGGCGGGGGAUAACUACUGGAAACGGUCGCUAAUACCGCAUACCAUCAGAGGUGCCCAGAUGGGAUUAGCUUGUUGGUGGGGUAAAGGCUCACCAAGGCGACGAUCCCUAGCUGGUCUGAGAGGAUGACCAGCCACCCUGGAAAUGAGACACGGUCCAGAAUCCUACGGUAGGCAGCAGUGGGGAAUAUUGCACAAUGGGCGCAAGCCUGAUGCAGCCAUGCCGCGUGUAUGAAGAAGGCCUUCGGGUUGUAAAGUACUUUCAGCGGGGAAGCGUUACCCGCAGAAGAAGCACCGGCUAACUCCGUGCCAGCAGCCGCGGUAAUAC